UAAGGAAUAUUGGUCAAUGGACGCAAGUCUGAACCAGCCAUGCCGCGUGAAGGAUGAAGGUCCUCUGGAUUGUAAACUUCUUUUAUCUGGGACGAAAACGGGAUUUUUAUCUCAAUUGACGGUACCAGAGGAAUAAGCACCGGCUAACUCCGUGCCAGCAGCCGCGGUAAUACGGAGGGUGCGAGCGUUAUCCGGAUUUACUGGGUUUAAAGGGUGCGUAGGUGGGCUUAUAAGUCAGUGGUGAAAUCUCCGAGCUUAACUUGGAAACUGCCGUUGAUACUAUAGGUCUUGAAUUAUCUGGAGGUAAGCGGAAUAUGUCAUGUAGCGGUGAAAUGCUUAGAUAUGACAUAGAACACCAAUUGCGAAUGCAGCUUACUACAUAUAAAUUGACGCUGAGGCACGAAAGCGUGGGGAUCAAACA
rnacentral:rRNA from 1 species